UGUUUAGUGCGAUGGGGGGACGGAGAAAGUUAGGCCAGCCAACUGUUGGAGUAGUUGGUUUAAGCAUGUAGGUAUGAUACUUAGGAAAAUCCGGGUAUCUUUAUACUGAGGUGUGAUGACGAUUACCUACGGGUAAGAAGUGGUUGAUACUAUGCUUCCAGGAAAAGCCUCUAAGCUUCAGCUAAACACGACCGUACCGCAAACCGACACUGGUGGACGAGAUGAGUAUUCUAAGGCGCUUGAGAGAACUCUGGAGAAGGAACUCGGCAAAUUAGCACCGUAACUUCGGGAGAAGGUGCGCCCCGACGAUGUGUAAGACUAUACGUCUGAAGCAGUAAGGGGUUGCAGUGAAAUGGUGGCUGCGACUGUUUAUUAAAAACACAGCACUCUGCAAACACGAAAGUGGAAGUAUAGGGUGUGACGCCUGCCCGGUGCUGGAAGAUUAAAUGAUGUGGUGCAAGCUAUUGAUUGAAGUCCCAGUAAACGGCGGCCGUAACAAUAACGGUCCUAAGGUAGCGAAAUUCCUCGUCGGGUAAGUUCCGACCCGCACGAAUGGCGUAACGAUGGCCACACUGUCUCCUCCAGAGACUCAGCGAAGUUGAAAUGUUUGUGGAGAUGCAAUCUCCCCGCGGCUAGACGGAAAGACCCCAUGCACCUUUACUGCAGCUUUGCAUUGGACUUUGACCAUAUUUGUGUAGGAUAGGUGGGAGGCUAUGAAGUUGUGUCGCUAGAUACAAUGGAGCCGACGUUGAAAUACCACCCUGAUAUGUUUGAGGUUCUAACCUAGGUGUAACAGCACCGGGGACAGUACAUGGUAGGCAGUUUGACUGGGGCGGUCUCCUCCCAAAGAGUAACGGAGGAGUACGAAGGUAACCUUAUCACGGACGGAAAUCGUGAGGAAAGUGCAAUGGCAAAAGGUUGCUUGACUGCGAGACUGACAAGUCGAGCAGGUGCGAAAGCAGGUCAUAGUGAUCCGGUGGUUCUGAAUGGAAGGGCCAUCGCUCAACGGAUAAAAGGUACCUGGGGAUAACAGGCUGAUACCGCCCAAGAGUUCACAUCGACGGCGGUGUUUGGCACCUCGAUGUCGGCUCAUCUCAUCCUGGGGCUGUAGUCGGUCCCAAGGGUAUGGCUGUUCGCCAUUUAAAGAGGUACGUGAGCUGGGUUUAAAACGUCGUGAGACAGUUUGGUCCCUAUCUGCCGUGGGCGUUGGAGAUUUGAGGGGGGCUGCUCCUAGUACGAGAGGACCGGAGUGGACACACCUCUGGUGUACCGGUUGUGACGCCAGUCGCAUUGCCGGGUAGCUAAGUGUGGAAGAGAUAACCGCUGAAAGCAUCUAAGUGGGAAACUUGCCUCGAGAUAAGAUCUCCCUGAGUACGUGAUACUCCAGAAGGGUCGUUGAAGACUACAACGUUGAUAGGUUGGGUGUGGAAGCGCAGUAAUGUGUUAAGCUAACCAAUACUAAUUGCCC
rnacentral:rRNA from 1 species